UCUCUCGGAGAGACAAAUGAUUUCAGCUGUUCUGUUGGUGGCAGACAACCGUAAAGAGGAGCUUUUUUUUUGUAAAAUUCACGUUGAAGACGAUCACCGUUCGCUUGCGCUUACGUCGACCGUCAAAGACGUAACUAUUCCCGAAAUGGAUGACCUGUUGGAAACCGUGGUUUAGGAAUAUCUUAAACUCCGGUAUUUGUUUUCACAAUUUUUUCAUGACAUAAAAUGCGAGCGUUUUCAGGCUGAAAUUUUUACACGACACUAGUCGAAUGUCCCAGCUUGCCCUUGCGGCUGCCUUGAGUGCUCUCGCAGCGCAUCUGGGGUCGACCUCUGGACCGGAAAUAGUAAAGAAUGACGCUUCGCAUGGAUGCCCACACGACCCGUUCGAAUGCUUCGUGUUCUGCAAAAGCAUGGAACACGAGUUCUUCUUUUGCGUGGGACUUCGCCAGCACUUGUGCUUGUGCAACACUGACACGCCGGUAGAAGAUCCUCGCUGAGCGAUACGAGAAACUCCCUAAAAAUGAAGACAUUUGCACUGUCUCA